rnacentral:tRNA from 1 species
AAAGGAAUAGCAUAAUUAAUGCAAUUCACUUACAUUGAAUAGAUAGUUUGAAUUUGACUUUCCUUUA